CUGGAGUGCAGUGGCGCAAUCUCGGCUCACUGCAAGCUCCACCUCCCGGGUUCACGCCAUUCUCCUGCCUCAGCCUCCCGAGUAGCUGGGACUACAGGCGCCCGCCACCACACCCAGCUAAUUUUUUGUAUUUUUUAGUACAGACGGGGUUUCACCGUGUUAGCCAGGAUGGUCUCGAUCUCCUGACCUUGUGAUCUGCCUGCCUCGGUCUCCCAAAGUGCUGGGAUUACAGGUGUGAGCCACCACACCUGCCCCUUCUGUAUCUACUUUUCCAUACCUCACAAGUAUUCUGGAAAAAACUAUAAUUUAUAAUACUAAUUUAUAAAUUUUAAUUUUACAAUUUAAAGUGAUUAAAACAACAAGUCAUGAAAUAUUUAUUGUACUACUAUACAUCUGGCCCUGCCUUCUCCAAGAAGGUGCUAACAUGUUUAAGGACUCUGAAAAAGAAGGCACUGAUAUGGUCAUUUUUGGGGUGGGGAAGACUUUUCCAAGCUAGACAGAUAUUUCUCCUGCCCCUUAACUGGGAAUAUAAAAAAUACAUAACAGCAAAGGCUGCAGGAAAUUGUAUCCUAAGUCAGUAGCAAAAAAGGGUGUCCAAUGCAGAUUAAACUUGCAUCUGUUUGGCCAGCACAUGCCCACAUCCACAUUGGCUCAGAGCUAUGGGAGUCACUACUGCCAGGCGGCAGAGGCAGCUGGGUGUCAGUGGAAGUGUUCAGACUCGAAAAACAGGUGAUCGUGCAUUCUUUCUGAAUGUGCAAAAUAUGAAUCAGAUCAUUUAUAAAAUGCCUGCAGCUGUUUGGUAGGGUACACAGGUACUAAUUUAAAGUCUGAUUCCACCCUACUCAUACACACAAGUGUUGUAUGCAUGUAUAUGUGUGCACACACAGCACCAGAACAGCCAAAGGCCUAGGGAGGCGGAAAGCUUGUUCACUGUGUGUCUGUGUACGUGCACAAUAUCACCAUUUCCCCAAAAGGAUGAAACCUUGAGCAGCAGCUUCUGCAUAACACUAGGUGGCAUUUCAUGUAGAAAAGAACAGGCAGGCACACUGCAAGUGUGAAGGUCACUGUUCGUGGUUACAUUUACCCUCCUUGAAUCUCGAGAUCUCCUGGAGUGUGACCGCUGUUGGUGAGCCAUUCCUGCUUCGGAGACUAAAUCAGCAUUGAACCCAUUUGCAUCAAGAUGUAAU
rnacentral:lncRNA from 10 species